rnacentral:rRNA from 1 species
AGUGAACGCUGGCGGUAGGCCUAACACAUGCAAGUCGAACGACAGCACAGUAAGAGCUUGCUCUUACGGGUGGCGAGUGGCGGACGGGUGAGGAAUACAUCGGAAUCUACUUUUUCGUGGGGGAUAACGUAGGGAAACUUACGCUAAUACCGCAUACGACCUACGGGUGAAAGCAGGGGAUCUUCGGACCUUGCGCGAUUGAAUGAGCCGAUGUCGGAUUAGCUAGUUGGCGGGGUAAAGGCCCACCAAGGCGACGAUCCGUAGCUGGUCUGAGAGGAUGAUCAGCCACACUGGAGCUGGGACACGGUCCAGACUCCUGCGGGAGGCAGCAGUGGGGAAUAUUGGACAAUGGGGGCAAGCCUGAUACAGCCAUACCGAGUGGGUGAAGAAGGCCUUCGGGUUGUAAAGACGUUUUGUUGGGAAAGAAAAGCAGCAGGUUAAUACCACGCUGUUCUGACGGUACCCAAAGAAUAAGCACCGGCUAACUUCGUG